UGGCUGCUAUCAAUAUUUUAAUACUUUCGCUGCUAAUUUUCGCUCUCCCCAGAACGGCUGAAGGUUCUACCCUGAACUCCUGUCCCGACUUCCUUUGAUGAUGGAAAGUGAUGUGGAAGUGUGAGGCGUGACCGAGGGUAUCUAUGCACCUGCAUGCGAUGCCUGCGGAGGCCAGAGGAGGACGUCGGAUCCCCUG